UCUUCUCUCUCUCUCUGUCUCUGUUUCUCUGUUUCUCUGUCUCUCAGCUGUGUGUCUGCGUCCCACCUGCAGGGGGCAGGUCGCUGUUGGUCCUGGUCAGCACACGCCGUGGCAUUGGGUCUGCUGUUCGGCCGUCCUCACGGGCGUGUCGUGGCUCUAAUCUGACUUCAGCAUCUGUCGUGCACUCACGCCCCGUGCUCAUCCACGCGUCUUCUUGGGUCGAGUGCCCAGAUCUGUCGUCCGGGUUAAAUUGGGUUGUUUGUUGUCUUACUGUCGAGUUGUGAGGAUUCCUCACGCGUUCUGGGCAUGGGCCUCUGUCGGCUCUGUGUCCUGCGCCCCUUCUCUCUGGCCGGACUGCCUUUGGAGUCCCCAGCUUGCCCGUGGCCGGUGGCCCUGGCGGGGCCUGCUCCGCUCACUCUGACUCGCAGAAGGAGACCCCCUCCUGCUCACGGGCCUCUCGCUGUCCCUGACACCGUGCUUCCGUGAGUGGACGGACGGAUUUGAGGAGGUGCACGGCUCACUGCCGAGGGACCUGCGUCCUGUCACAUCGGGGUUCGGACCAGAACCCAGCUACGUCCCGGAGUCAGCCGCUCGCUGAACCAAGAAGUGCAGGUUCGUGCUUGCAGAGGACAUGCCCAUCCGUCGCGCCCUCGAACCGUGGGUUCCGGAGUCCCUUCUCCCGGAAAUUUUCCUCCUGUGAACACUGCUGUCCUUGGUGCCGCUUGAGCGAAGAGGAAAGCAUUUCCUCGUGACAGUGACCGGCUUGCCAGACCUUUUGACGCAAGAGAGAACAGAGUUGGUUUUUCCCCAGCUUAGAAAUAAGUAGAGUUCCGUUUGAAUAAACACCGUCGUAACGUGAGCGCUUUCACGGUGACGCCC